rnacentral:rRNA from 1 species
GGGCGUCUCUAUCUCAUUGCGAGAGGAGGCGCACCCAGAGCGUACACGCUGAUACCCGAAAGAUGGUGAACUAUGCCUGGCCAGGACGAAGCCAGGGGAAACCCUGGUGGAGGUCCGCAGCGAUUCUGACGUGCAAAUCGAUCGUCGGAGCUGGGUUUAGGGGCGAAAGACCAAUCGAACCAUCUAGUAGCUGGUUCCCUCUGAAGUUUCCCUCAGGAUAGCUUGCGCUCGGAAACAACGAGUCUCAUCCGGUAGAGCGAAUGAUUAGAGGCCUUGGGGUCGAAACGACCUCAACCUAUUCUCAAACUCCAAAUAGAUGAGAACCCCGGCUUUCUUGAACUCUGUUUAUGAAGCCGGGGGCUCGGAUCAGAGUGCCAAGUGGGCCAAUUUU